rnacentral:rRNA from 1 species
GACGAACGCUGGCGGCGUGCUUAACACAUGCAAGUCGAACGGAAAGGCCCUGCUUUUGUGGGGUGCUCGAGUGGCGAACAGGUGAGUAACACGUGAGUAACCUGCCCUUGACUUUGGGAUAACUUCAGGAAACUGGGGCUAAUACCGGAUAGGAGCUCCUGCUGCAUGGUGGGGGUUGGAAAGUUUCGGCGGUUGGGGAUGGACUCGCGGCUUAUCAGCUUGUUGGUGGGGUAGUGGCUUACCAAGGCUUUGACGGGUAGCCGGCCUGAGAGGGUGACCGGCCACAUUGGGACUGAGAUACGGCCCAGACUCCUACGGGAGGCAGCGGUGGGGAAUAUUGCACAAUGGGCGGAAGCCUGAUGCAGCGACGCCGCGUGCGGGAUGACGGCCUUCGGGUUGUAAACCGCUUUCGCCUGUGACGAAGCGUGAGUGACGGUAAUGGGUAAAGAAGCACCGGCUAACUACGUG